GGCAUGCAAGUCGAACGAGGAAGUUCCCUUCGGGGAACAAGUAGAGUGGCGCAAGGGUGAGUAAUGCAUAGGUAACCUACCCGCGAGACCGGGAUAACCUCGCUCCGGGCAACUGGAGCUACCGAAAGGGGGGCUAAUACCGGAUAACACCACGGAGUCGCAUGGCUCUGUGUUCAAAGGGGGGGAUCAGCUUCGGCUGACCUCGCACUCGUGGAGGGGCUUAUGUCCUAUCAGCUUGUUGGUGGGGUAAUGGCCUACCAAGGCGACGACGGGUAGCCGAUCUUAGCGGAUGACCGGCCACACUGGGACUGAGACACUGCCCAGACUCCUACGGGAGGCUGCAGCCGAGAAUCUUCCGCAAUGGGCGAAAGCCUGACGGAGCGACGCCGCGUGGAGGAAGAAGGCCCUCGGGUUGUAAACUCCUGUCACAGGUUAAGAGGGGUGUCCCUUACAAGGUGGGGGACUUCCGGACGAAGGCCUGAGAGGAAGCCACGGCUAACUCUGUGCCAGCAGCCGCGGUAAGACAGAGGUGGCAAGCGUUGUUCGGAACCACUGGGCGUAAAGGGCGCGUAGGCGGUGAUGUAAGUCGGAUGUGAAAUCCCCCGGCUCAACCGGGGAACUGCCUCCGAUACUAUGUCGCUAGAGUACGGGAGGGGAGAGUGGAACUUCUGGUGGAGCGGUGAAAUGCGUAGAGAUCAGAAGGAACGCCGGAGGCGAAGGCGACUCUCUGGACCGUUACUGACGCUGAGGCGCGAAAGCUAGGGGAGCAAACGGGAUUAGAUACCCCGGUAGUCCUAGCCGUAAACGAUGGGCACUAAGUAGAGGGGUUUU
rnacentral:rRNA from 1 species